rnacentral:rRNA from 1 species
UACGGGGGGGGCAAGCGUUGUUCGGAAUUACUGGGCGUAAAGGGCUCGUAGGCGGCCUACUAAGUCAGACGUGAAAUCCCUCGGCUUAACCGGGGAACUGCGUCUGAUACUGGAUGGCUUGAGAUUGGGAGAGGGAUGCGGAAUUCCAGGUGUAGCGGUGAAAUGCGUAGAUAUCUGGAGGAACACCGGUGGCGAAGGCGGCAUCCUAGACCAACACUGACGCUGAGUGAGCGAAAGCCAGGGGAGCAAACGGG